rnacentral:rRNA from 1 species
UACGGAGGGUGCGAGCGUUGUCCGGAAUCACUGGGCGUAAAGGGCGCGUAGGCGGCCUGAUAAGUCGGGGGUGAAAUCCUGCGGCUUAACCGCAGGGCUGCCUUCUAAACUGUCAGGCUUGAGCGCAGUAGAGGCAGGUGGAAUUCCCGGUGUAGCGGUGGAAUGCGUAGAGAUCGGGAAGAACAUCAGUGGCGAAGGCGGCCUGCUGGGCUGUUGCUGACGCUGAGGCGCGACAGCGUGGGGAGCAAACAGG